UACAGGGGGGGGCAAGCGUUUGUUCGGAAUUACUGGGCGUAAAGGGCUCGUAGGUGGCCAACUAAGUCAGACGUGAAAUCCCUCAGCUUAACUGGGGAACUGCGUCUGAUACUGGAUGGCUUGAGUUUGGGAGAGGGAUGCGGAAUUCCAGGUGUAGCGGUAAAAUGCGUAGAUAUCUGGAGGAACACCGGUGGCGAAGGCGGCAUCCUGGACCAACACUGACACUGAGGAGCGAAAGCCAGGGGAGCAAACGGG
rnacentral:rRNA from 1 species